UCCCUGGUGGCUCAGUGGGUUAAGAAUCCAGCAUUGUCACUGCUGUGGCGUGGGUUUGAUCCCAGCCUGGAGAA
rnacentral:tRNA from 1 species